rnacentral:misc_RNA from 1 species
AAGUCGUAACAAGGUUUCCGUAGGUGAACCUGCGGAAGGAUCAUUAUCGUGUUUUUAUCCUUUCUUCAUUGAAGGAUAACAAACGUAUUCACCCAAUCGUGAACUUGUUCCUGGAGAAAGGUGGUUUGCCUUGAUUGACAGCUACCAAUUUCCAAUUAUUUUCUUUUUUCACCUUUUAUUCACCACUUGUAUUCAAUGUGCUAAACUAAACAUCUUGGAUGAUCUCUCGUCUAACGAGAGUUUCUGAAAAGAAAGUACGAAAUUGCUGAACAACUCUUAGCAACGGAUAUCUUGGUUCUC